rnacentral:misc_RNA from 1 species
GAUGUUGAGAGAUUUCAAAUUCCUCCGCCGGAAUUCGGGCAAGCAGAGUGAUGAAAUCGAGAAUGUUCCUGUAAAUCCUAGAGAUUCAUUAGCGAGUCAAACUAGCGCUGACUCAUCUAGGCCUCCGUUGAAUACGAUUCAAGACCCAGUUCCUCCCUCUCCUAAACCUAAAUUUGAAAAAGAAUCAGCAACAGGUGGAAGUAAAAUUGACAGAACACCAAUCAAGCCCAAACCCAAAAAGUCUGAUUCCACUUUGCCUCUCCGUACGCCGGAUAAACAGGCAUUUCAUGUGAAGAAUCGAUUCGGGUGGGCUCAGAGGAAUGAGCCUAGCUCGAUUCCCAGUGAAUCGUGUGAUGAAAUGAGACCUGAUAUGAACAACUAUCCAGUGCAGCUGAGUCGUGGGGGCUUGCCAAACAUGACUCCAAGGUCGACUAGGACCGUGGGGAGGCCUACUUCAAGUCAUUCUG